UUCCCCUGGCCAUAUGUGCCCCCCAGGCAGUGCUACACAGAUUUCCUGUGCUCCUGGGAGCUAUCAAAGCCUACACACACAGGCAGAGUGUUUGCUCUGUCUGCCUGGUUUUUUCUGUGCAGGCUCAGUGGAUGCUGAAACAGGGAUUAUGAGAGGGACCACCACACCUGUCCCGUGUCCUGUGGGGCAUUACUGUCCAGCAGGUACAAAAUCUGGGCGUGAGUUCCCCUGUCCAGCUGGUACUUACAGCAAUGAGUUAGGUAUGUCCAUUGUGGGACAUUGUAUUCUCU